UACGGGGGGGGCAAGCGUUGUUCGGAAUUACUGGGCGUAAAGGGUCUGUAGGUGGCUUGCUAAGUCAGACGUGAAAUCCCUCAGCUUAACUGGGGAACUGCGUCUGAGACUGGCGAGCUUGAGGGCAGGAGAGGAACGCGGAAUUCCAGGUGUAGCGGUGAAAUGCGUAGAUAUCUGGAGGAACACCGGUGGCGAAGGCGGCGUUCUGGACUGCAACUGACACUGAGGAACGAAAGCCAGGGAGCAAACGGG
rnacentral:rRNA from 1 species